UCGAGCGGUAGAGAGAAGCUUGCUUCUCUUGAGAGCGGCGGACGGGUGAGUAAUGCCUAGGAAUCUGCCUGGUAGUGGGGGAUAACGUUCGGAAACGGACGCUAAUACCGCAUACGUCCUACGGGAGAAAGCAGGGGACCUUCGGGCCUUGCGCUAUCAGAUGAGCCUAGGUCGGAUUAGCUAGUUGGUGGGGUAAUGGCUCACCAAGGCGACGAUCCGUAACUGGUCUGAGAGGAUGAUCAGUCACACUGGAACUGAGACACGGUCCAGACUCCUACGGGAGGCAGCAGUGGGGAAUAUUGGACAAUGGGCGAAAGCCUGAUCCAGCCAUGCCGCGUGUGUGAAGAAGGUCUUCGGAUUGUAAAGCACUUUAAGUUGGGAGGAAGGGUUGUAGAUUAAUACUCUGCAAUUUUGACGUUACCGACAGAAUAAGCACCGGCUAACUCUGUGCCAGCAGCCGCGGUAAUACAGAGGGUGCAAGCGUUAAUCGGAAUUACUGGGCGUAAAGCGCGCGUAGGUGGUUUGUUAAGUUGGAUGUGAAAUCCCCGGGCUCAACCUGGGAACUGCAUUCAAAACUGACUGACUAGAGUAUGGUAGAGGGUGGUGGAAUUUCCUGUGUAGCGGUGAAAUGCGUAGAUAUAGGAAGGAACACCAGUGGCGAAGGCGACCACCUGGACUAAUACUGACACUGAGGUGCGAAAGCGUGGGGAGCAAACAGGAUUAGAUACCCUGGUAGUCCACGCCGUANACGAUGUCAACUAGCCGUUGGAAGCCUUGAGCUUUUAGUGGCGCAGCUAACGCAUUAAGUUGACCGCCUGGGGAGUACGGCCGCAAGGUUAAAACUCAAAUGAAUUGACGGGGGCCCGCACAAGCGGUGGAGCAUGUGGUUUAAUUCGA
rnacentral:rRNA from 1 species